rnacentral:rRNA from 1 species
GAGGGCGUUUACCACGGUGUGGUUCAUGACUGGGGUGAAGUCGUAACAAGGUAGCCCUAGGGGAACCUGGGGCUGGAUCACCUCCUUACU